GUCGGUCUUCGGUAGUGGCUUCCGGAAGUAAGGUCCGUGAGUCUCGAUCGAUGACCGCC
rfam:Actinomyces neuii BVS029A5 genomic scaffold supercont1.1, whole genome shotgun sequence.